rnacentral:lncRNA from 1 species
GGAAAGGGUGGCCGAGCGCGGGCGGAGGACGGAGAAGGGGGCGGCGAGGGCCGGAAUCUCGAGCUUGUUUUCACUUGCUUUUUAAAGACAGAAAGCUCAUGGUGCAAAUUGUUAUUUCCAGGGAAUCCCUGUGCUGAUCGUGGGGCAUCAUAUCCUGUAUGGGAAAAUCAUCCACCUGGAGAAACCUUUUGCAGUCCUUGUCAAACACACUCCUGGGGAUCAGGACUGUGAUGAGCUUGGCCGCGAGACUGGCACCCGGUACCUGGUGACAGCACUCAUCAAAGACAAGAUCCUUUUCAAAACCCGCCCCAAGCCCAUUAUCACCAGCGUCCCCAAGAAAGUAUGAAAGAACCUCGGAUUUUCCCUAGAGAGCGGCCAACUCCUUGGACUCGUGCUCCGCUGCCACCUCGAGGACGGCUCGACGGUUCCCUGGGACCACAGGGGGGUCCUGUUCUGAACACAGGCCACCCACUGG